CCUACGGGCGGCAGCAGUGAGGAAUAUUGGUCAAUGGCCGGAAGGCUGAACCAGCCAUGCCGCGUGAAGGUCAGUGCCCUAUGGGCGUUAAACUUCUUAUGUUCGGGAGCAAUAAUGGUCACGUGUGGCCAGACGAGGGUACCGUACGAAUAAGCAUCGGCUAACUCCGUGUCAGCAGCCGCGGUAAUACGGGGGAUGCAAGCGUUAUCCGGAUUUAUUGGGUUGAAAGGGUGCGUAGGCUGUGAGGUAAGUCAGCGGGGAAAUGCCCCCGCUCAACGGGGUGAAGUGCCAUUGAUACUGCCUUGCUGGAAUGCGGAUGCCGUGGGAGGAAUGUGUGGUGUAGCGGUGAAAUGCAUAGAUAUCACACAGAACACCGAUUGCGAAGGCAUCUCACGAAUCCGCGAUUGACGCUGAUGCACGAAAGCGUGGGUAUCAAACAGGAUUAGAUACCCCAGUAGUC
rnacentral:rRNA from 1 species